GGUCUGUUAGCUCAGUUGGUUAGAGCGUCGUACUAAUAUUUCUUCUCCGGAAAUAUCAUGUAAUGCGAAGGUCAUGAGUUCGACCCUCAUACGGACCA